UAAAGCAUAUCAAUAAGCGGAGGA
rnacentral:rRNA from 1 species